AGCAGUAUCAGGACGAAACCAUACGGAUGUAAAUGUGGAUCUAUGAUCCCAGCUGUCCGAGAGCGCUUUCUCAUGUGGAUAGUUCCGCUGCCUUCCUACUGAUUCUCUCU
rnacentral:snoRNA from 1 species